GUAAACAAUCUCCGAAGAGCUGAGACGAAUCCACCCCUUGUUUUCUUCUGAUUGGCAACAGCAGUGGAUGAAACAAUGUGGCCAUCAGCGGUAGAGGUAGACAUUUUCUCAGCAGAGUGCUCCAGGCUGGUAGCAAUAGCAUCAACUUCAUGGACCGAAGCAUUGCAACUCUCGGUUGAAAACAUAGAAAUAGUGAUGACUAGUCUACUUCUCUUGGUUGAGACAUCAGCCACAUGGACCUCAGGUUGGUUGGAGUCUCUCAGUGUGGAAUCAUCACGAUCCUUCACUCUAGCAUCACUGCUGGACAGCUCCUGAGACACUAGGCCUGCAGCAGACUGGAUCAGGUCACUCUCCACGAUGGCAACACUGGUAGACAUAACCUGAGACACUAGACCUGCAGCAGACUGGAUCAGGUCACUCUCCACGAUGGCAACACUGGUAGACAUAACCUGAGACACUAGACCUGCAGCAGACUGGAUCAGGUCAUUCUCCACGAUGGAAACACUGGUGGACAGAACCUGAGACACUAGGACUGCAGCAGACUGGAUCUGGUCAUUCUCGACGAUGGAAACACUGGUGGACAGAACCUGAGACACUAGGCCUGCAGCAGACUGGAUCAGGUCACUCUCCACGAUAGCAACACUGGUGGACAGAACCUGAGACACUAGGCCUGCAGCAGACUGGAUCAGGUCAUUCUCCACGAUGGAAACACUGGUGGACAGAACCUGAGACACUAGGCCUGCAGCAGACUGGAUCUGGUCAUUCUCCACGAUGGAAACACUGGUGGACAGAACCUGAGACACUAGGCCUGCAGCAGACUGGAUCCGGUCAUUCUCCACGAUGGUAACACUGGUGGACAGAACCAGAGACACUAGGCCUGCAGCAGACUGGAUCAGGUCAUUCUCCACGAUGGCAA
rnacentral:lncRNA from 1 species